UGAAAGCUGGCAUUACAUGGUCAAUUAUUCAAUCACCAUGACGUUCAAGCGUGUGACAUGAGCAAGAACUUGUGAGCUCCCUCCUCCCAAGAAUUCUACCUAUGUGCAUCACAUAGUUUUCUCGUUUUUCUUUCUUUGAAUUUGUCACCUUAUGCACAUGCAACCGCAAGAGCAUUCAAAAACUGAACAUACAACGCAUUUAGGAAUUAAUUCUACAUCUCAUUUUGUAAUUUUC
rnacentral:lncRNA from 1 species